rnacentral:rRNA from 1 species
AUUGAACGCUGGCGGCAGGCCUAACACAUGCAGUCGAACGGUAACAGGAAGCAGCUUGCUGCUUUGCUGACGAGUGGCGGACGGGUGAGUAAUGUCUGGGAAACUGCCUGAUGGAGGGGGAUAACUACUGGAAACGGUAGCUAAUACCGCAUAACGUCGCAAGACCAAAGAGGGGGACCUUCGGGCCUCUUGCCAUCGGAUGUGCCCAGAUGGGAUUAGCUAGUAGGUGGGGUAACGGCUCACCUAGGCGACGAUCCCUAGCUGGUCUGAGAGGAUGACCAGCCACACUGGAACUGAGACACGGUCCAGACUCCUACGGGAGGCAGCAGUGGGGAAUAUUGCACAAUGGGCGCAAGCCUGAUGCAGCCAUGCCGCGUGUAUGAAGAAGGCCUUUCGGGUUGUAAAGUACUUUUCAGCGGGGAGGAAGGCGAUAAGGUUAAUAACCUUGUCGAUUGACGUUACCCGCAGAAGA